GGCACAAAUUUUAAGAAAUCGUGUAAAGUAUAGUGUGAGUGGAGAAAAGGUUCCACAUUGAUUGUGAUGUUUAGUGGGAGAAUUAUUUUUUCGGUUCGAACCAUGAACUUUUAAUUUUUUAUUUUUUCCCUUAUUUUCUCUAUAUAUUUUUUUUUGAAUUAUUUUGUGUAUUGUUUAUUAAUGGGGUUCUUGCCUUUGUCAUUACGACGAAAACUAGAAGAAGCCAUUUAAGAAAAUAAAAGAAAUAUGAUAAUAGAAGAAAAUUGGAAGAAAUUGAGACAGCACAAGUGAUCAACAACAAGAGUAGUAAAGAAGAUUACAGGGAGUAGAGAGAGUAGAGAGAUACGUUUAAAAAAUGGUGUGGAAUA
rnacentral:lncRNA from 1 species